UCUCUCUCUCUCUCUCUUUCUUCUAUCAGUUGGACUCAAGAUCAAGAUUGGUGAGCUGCUCUAUGUUCAUAGUAUACACAAUGAAAGCCUUUCUACCCAUUAACAUGUUCGCAGCUUCUGUUGAGUGAAAUGCAUCCCAUAAUUAAAAUGCUCCUACAAGGUAUCUGGAAUGGAAGACACGUUUCCUGACAUUUGAAAUGUAUCCUAUAGGGUGGACAUUGGACACUUGCAAAAGGGACUUGGGUGUGGGUUUCACAUCCACAUUUGGGUCGGAUGAAAACGCCAACUGCAGCAAGCCUAGAACCAAGACAGCCAUCACAGAUUAGAAUGAUUUCGUUUAUCAGUGGAACACG
rnacentral:misc_RNA from 1 species